AUGUACAGCCCAAGGAGGGCUCAAGUCCCCAUGUCCAGCCCAAGGAGGGCUCCAGUUCCCACAUCCAGCCCCAGAAGGGCUCCAGUCCCGAAGACAAGCCCAGAGAGGUCCAUAGUUCCCGAGUUAGUUCUACGGAGGGCCUCUGAAACCAACAUUCUGCCAAAGGUUUUUUUUUUUUUUUUGGGUGUAAUAGUGGUCCGCCCAUGGAGACCAGAGCUCCCCAAGCUCCCUGUUCCAACAUGGCCUCCUGAACUGUCUACUCCGCCAUGACCUCCUGAACUGUCUGCUCUGCCAUGGCUCCCCAAGCUCCUUGUUUCGCCAUGGCCUCCUGAACUGUCUGCUCUGCCAUGGCUUCCUGAACUGUCUGCUCCGCCAUGGCCUCCUAGCCUGCCUGCUCUGCCAUGGUUUCCUAGUCUGCCUGAUCCGCCAUGGCACCCCAAACUCCCUGAUCCGCUGUGGGUCCCAGAAUGGGUACCACCCUGGAGGCCAUCCAUUUCUGUAGGCCUGUCCUGAGAGGUCCCCACCUUGUUGUUAGGCACGUGGACGCGCCUUCCGGGAGGGGGGGAGUAAUGUCAGGCCUGUGUUCCUGUCUUGUCUUGUGUUUUGUUCCCCAUGUCCUAGUUUCUCCCUCCAUGCUCAUAAUUUAGUCCUUCCUGUUUCCUGUUCCCAUUUUGUUCAUUUUAUGUCAGCUGUGUUUCCCCAAUUCCCUCAUCUCUUCUCUUAAUACUUUAACCCUGUGUUUCCAAGUUUCUUCAUCUGGUAUUGAAUGUCGUCUUUCUUGCUAAGUGUGAUUUCCUGGUUCCUCGAAUAUUAUUAAAGGAGUCAUAUGAUACUGCUAAAAAGAACAGUAUUUUGUGUAUUUGGUGUAAUGAAAUGUGUUUAUGUGGUUUAAGUAAAAAAAAACACAUUAUUUUCCACAUACUGUACAUUACUGUUUCUCCUCUAUGCCCCGCCUUCUGAAACGCAUUGAUUUUCACAAGGCUCAUCUCUCUGAAAAGCGCGAUGUGCUGUGAUUGGCCAGCUAUCCAGCGCGUUGUGAUUGGCCGAAUGCCUCAAGCGUGAGACGGAAAUGUUACGCCUCUUAACAUAUUGUGAAGCCUUGUCUGGCCGGCGCGACGAGACAUAAACAUAAAACCCAUUAUAAAUGUGAUAUAAACAUGAUUUCUAGUCUUGUUUUCUUUUGGAAGGUAAAAACAAAGUAGUUUCGCUUUCUCAACGAAACAACAUCACACACCGCGGCCUUGAGUGAGCAGAG
ensembl:lncRNA